GCCAGCGUAGCUCAGGGGUAGAGCAACUGAUUCGUAAUCAGUAGGUCGACGGUUCAAUUCCGUCCGCUGGCUCCA
rnacentral:tRNA from 1 species